rnacentral:rRNA from 2 species
AAAAGCGUAGUCGAUGGAAAACAGGUUAAUAUUCCUGUACUUCUGGUUAUUGCGAUGGAGGGACGGAGAAGGCUAGGCCAGCUUGGCGUUGGUUGUCCAAGUUUAAGGUGGUAGGCUGAGAUCUUAGGUAAAUCCGGGAUCUUAAGGCCGAGAGCUGAUGACGAGUUGUCUUUUAGAUGACGAAGUGGUUGAUGCCAUGCUUCCAAGAAAAGCUUCUAAGCUUCAGGUAACCAGGAACCGUACCCCAAACCGACACAGGUGGUUGGGUAGAGAAUACCAAGGCGCUUGAGAGAACUCGGGUGAAGGAACUAGGCAAAAUGGCACCGUAACUUCGGGAGAAGGUGCGCCGGUGAGGGUGAAGGACUUGCUCCGUAAGCCCCGGAGGGUCGCAGAGAAUAGGUGGCUGCGACUGUUUAUUAAAAACACAGCACUCUGCUAACACGAAAGUGGACGUAUAGGGUGUGACGCCUGCCCGGUGCCGGAAGGUUAAUUGAUGGGGUUAG